AGUUGGGGGAUAAGUAACAGUUUGAGGACAGAGGUGGAGAAGCAGGGUUGAGUAGACUGUUAUAGGGGGAUGAGUUGGGGGAUAAGUAACAGUUUGAGGACAGAGGUGGAGAAGCAGGGUUGCGUAGACUGUUAUAGGGGGAUGAGUUGGGGGAUAAGUAACAGUUUGAGGACAGAGGUGGAGCAGCAGGGUUGAGUAGAUUGUUAAAGGGGGAUGAGUAGGGGAUAAGUAACAGUUUGAGGACAGAGGUGGAGAAGCAGGGUUGAGUAGACUUAUAGGGGGAUGAGUUGGGGAAUAAGUAACAGUUUGAGGACAGAGGUGGAGCAGCAGGGUUGCGUAGACUGUUAAAGGGGGAUGAGUAGGGGAUAAGUAACAGUUUGAGGACAGAGGUGGAGAAGCAGGGUUGAGUAGACUUAUAGGGGGAUGAGUUGGGGAAUAAGUAACAGUUUGAGGACAGAGGUGGAGCAGCAGGGUUGCGUAGACUGUUAAAGGGGGAUGAGUAGGGGAUAAGUAACAGUUUGAGGACAGAGGUGGAGCAGCAGGGUUGAGUAGAUUGUUAAAGGGGGAUGAGUAGGGGAUAAGUAACAGUUUGAGGACAGAGGUGGAGAAGCAGGGUUGAGUAGACUUAUAGGGGGAUGAGUUGGGGAAUAAGUAACAGUUUGAGGACAGAGGUGGAGCAGCAGGGUUGCGUAGACUGUUAAAGGGGGAUGAGUAGGGGAUAAGUAACAGUUUGAGGACAGAGGUGGAGCAGCAGGGUUGAGUAGACUGUUAAAGGUGCAGAUGGCGGGGUUUUUAAUGUGGGGACAGACACAGGUCAGAGAUAUCCAGCCUGAGGAGGGCGGCUGGGGUGCUUCAGGUGCCUCAAGACUAACCAGUUUUCAGGAUGGAAAUGGACAGAGAACGGUCAUCAGCAUGUGCAGUUUUUAAAGGUUCCACACACACGCACACACACUAUAUACACACACA